CUCGUUUGUUGCGCACGCGAAGCGUAAACACGAGCACCUAAAAACCGCCGUACCCCGUGAGCAAACGGCACUUGGAGGAAACAUCCUCCACCGGCCCGGGGGGGAAAAGUAUCAAACAACGGGGAUAUAGAAAAGAACCUGAAAAGCGCCAAACAAAAACAGCCGGCUUUACGGUGAAAAAACGAAAAAUUGACGGAAGCAGCAAACGGGCCGUUCCACUCGACGUCUCCGUGCCUCACCUCCUAAUAAAAUUACUCUUCUUCAAGUCUUGAUAACGACAUGCUCCUCGUUCUCGUUACUCGAAAGCAACAGCUGCAACUGCAGCUGCGUCCCUCAGCUCCCGUAGCUGUUAGUUACGAAUAUUCUAUUCCAUUCUAGAGAGAGAAAAAAACGAAAGAGUUAUAUUUCAUAACAGACGUCUAGACAGAGAAAAAGCACGAAGCAUCAAUAGCCAAAGAAAAAAAAAAUAGAACCUCCGUAAUCUCAAAGCAAUUUCAUUUUACACAGAGAGAGAGACAGAAGACAAACAUACAUUUUUGUAUAUAUGUAUGUAUAGAAACAGAAUUUCAGAAUCCUAAAUCGUCGUGAAUGCGAAAUUUUUCUUUGAAAAGAUUUGACUUGAAUUGCAGUUAUAUUGAAUUUUAAACGAGAAUGCAAGGGGAGGCGAUUUCGAUUCAGGAGAAUGAGAGGGCUAAAAGUGUGGAUGUGGAGACUUCCGAGGAAGAGAAACGAAGAACUAGCGGCAGAUCUCUGAAGAAAAAGGCAAUGAGUGCAUCUACGAGGCUCACUCAUAGCCUCAAGAAGCGUAGGAAGCGGGUGGCCGAUUGCCGAUAUGCCGCGAUUUCGAUUAAUGAUGUUCGAGACGCGAAUGAGGAAGCGGCUGUGAACGCGUUUCGCCAGGAAUUGAUUGCAAAAGACCUGCUACCUCCUCGCUAUGACGAUUACCACACUUUAUUGAGGUUUCUAAAGGCUCGAAAGUUUGACCUUGAUAAAACUCUCUUGAUGUGGUCAGAAAUGCUUACCUGGAGGAAAGAGCAGGGAAUAGAUUCUAUCGUACAGGAUUUUAUAUAUGAUGAAUAUGAAGAAGUUCAGCGAUAUUAUCCUCAUGGUUAUCAUGGUGUAGACAAAGAGGGCCGACCUGUUUAUAUAGAAAGACUUGGCAAAAUUGAACCUAGCAAGCUAAUGAGUGUCACCACAGUGGAUCGGUUUUUAAAAUAUCAUGUUCAGGGAUUUGAGAAGACUUUUGCUGAGAAAUUUCCUGCAUGUUCUAUUGCAGCUAAGAGGCAUAUAGAUUCUACAAUAACAAUAUUGGAUGUGCAUGGCCUGAACUGGAUGAGUUUUGGAAAGGUUGCACAUGAUCUAGUUAUGCGUAUGCAGAAAAUUGAUGGUGACAACUAUCCUGAGGUGGUUUAAUUAUUAAAAUGAAACUAAAUAGAAAGAUUGCCCGAGUUACUGGUGUAUUCAUUUGGUGAUCACUUAUGAAUCUGCUCCUUCUUAACAGACAUUACAUCAGAUGUUCAUUGUAAAUGCUGGUAGUGGAUUCAAACUGCUAUGGAACACAGCAAAAGGUUUUCUUGAUCCAAAGACUACUGGAAAGAUAAAUGUACAAGGCAUUUGGUAUUUAUUUCUUUUGCUGUACAAAAUGAUCUGAACUUAUACUGAAUCAUUCUGAUCUGAUGCCAUAGGUUUUAGGCAAUAAAUUCCAAAAUAAGUUGUUAGAAGUUAUAGACCCAAGGUUGGUAUUUUUCUUUUACUGUUAGUGCAACAUCAAAUAUUUAAUUACAGCUGGAAAGUUUUCCAACUCAUGUUACAAACUUCUUUUUGCAUUUUCUUGCAAAACAGCCAAUUGCCAGAAUUCCUUGGUGGAUCUUGUUCAUGUCCAAAUGAAGGUGGUUGUCUUAGAUCUAACAAGGGGCCCUGGAAUGAUCCAGAAAUAAUGAAACUGGUACAUGCUGGAGAAGCAAUGAUCUUGAGGAAAAUGAAGAGUUUUUCUGAUGACGAUGAUUUUGAAAUCAGGCCAUUUCCCUCUAAGGUUUCUAGAAGUGAAAUAUCUUCUUCUAAUUUAGGCUUAGAUAUAAAGCCAAAUACAUCAAGCUUCAUUCAACAAAUGCCACUUUCUGAGAAAGGAAGAAGGAUGGGUGAUCCUGCUUCUGUCUGCAACCUGAUUGAACACAUUCCAGCAAGAGUUGAAGUAUCUAGUUCAACAAAUGAUUCAGCCAAUGGUUUCAGCACAACAAUAGUGCAGAAGAAGUUCAUUCCUCAUAUAACAAGUUUUGUAGUUCACUUCAUGCUCAAAUUGUUAGCAUGGAUAUAUCUUCUUGUGCCAGCAGUGGGGAGAAUUUUUUCAGUCCGACGUGCAGACAGACAAUUACCUAACCAACACAACCUACCAGUGGCAGAUUCAAGUUCUCAAGAGCAACACAUCUCACGGGAAAUAAAAGAGGACUCACUCCAGCCAUGCUGGCAGAGGUUGCAACAUUUAGAAACAAUGGUAAAUGAGCUGGUUAGCAAACCUACCAAAAUUCCUCCUGAGAAAGAGGACAUGCUUCUUGAAUCUUUGAGUCGGAUUAAAUCUAUAGAACAUGAUCUGCAGAAGACAAAGAAAGCUCUGCUUGCAACUGCAUCAAAACAGAUGGAGCUUGCCGAGUCACUGGAAAAUCUUAAAGAGAGCACCUUAGCUGUAAGUUCCUAAAAUUCGUUUUAGGUGGGCUGUUCAUUCAACAUAAGCUGGAAUUUAGCAUUCUUUACAAAUGUUGGAAGAUGCAGCAGGGAAUUUAAAUUUCAGGUUUUGGGGUGUUCAGCAGCUGAGAAUAAAUAAGUGUGGGAAAAAUAAGCAUGUGCUAUAGCAAUAAAAGCCUGCACAUAGUUUUAGCAAAGUCAUAUAUGCAUCAAUUCAUAAUUUUGGCUCCCAACUCCCAAAAAUAAAAAUAAGUGAGAAACAUAUCCAAGUUAAAUGUCAAAAAAGGAAAACCCCUUUGACAGAAAUAAGGGAAUUAUAGAAAAAAAAUAAAAAGGACUAAGAAUUUGUAUACACUGGCCUAGCCUCAUUAUCCUUGCGUCGCAUUGGAUAAAUUUCCAGAAUUUCGUAUCACGGGUAUACUAGAUUGUUGACAUACAAGAUGUAAAAUUGUUUUGGUAGUUUAAUUGCAUCAAGAAUGCAAUCUAUACUUUUGAUUUAGUUUAACAGUCGCCCACAUGUAAUUCUUAUGAGUUAUGCCUGGAGAAGUUUCUGGAUAUCUUCCAUUAAGUCAUACAGAAUGCAUUUAUUAUUAGAUUGGUUGCUUACCAUAUAAGACAAUAUGUGAAUGCGGAUUAUUCAUGACUUUGUCAAUUGCAGGGAGUGAAUUCAUGUUGGCCAAGAAAUUGCAAAACUUUUUCCCCAGAAAGAUGAGAUGUAUUUCUUUCAAAACAAGUUUGUUGAUGUUGUUAUUGCGCAAUGUCUGUGUGUGAUUCUUAAGAAUUCAGUCAUUAACCAGAUGCAAAUUAGUUCAGCAAAUUCAAAGAGAUUAGCCAUUCUAGGUAUCACUUUCAUUUGUUGCUGGAUCAUUCAUUCCACCAUUUCACCCUAAGAAGCAUGAAGUAAUUUCUUUUUCUUUUUCCCUCAGGUUCUUACCUUGCAGAGAAUGUCUCACUCUUCACCUGGCCAUGGAUUUCACGAUGUUUCAGAUAAGCAUCGCAGUGAGCAUGACACACCUGUAUGGUAUUCCUCGUGAUUCUGUACAUAGCAAAGAUCAUUUGGUUCC
rnacentral:misc_RNA from 1 species